rnacentral:rRNA from 1 species
UACAGAGGUCUCAAGCGUUGUUCGGAUUCAUUGGGCGUAAAGGGUGCGUAGGCGGCGUGGUAAGUCGGAUGUGAAAUCUCGGAGCUUAACUCCGAAACUGCAUUCGAUACUGCCGUGCUUGAGGACUGGAGAGGAGACUGGAAUUUACGGUGUAGCGGUGAAAUGCGUAGAUAUCGUAAGGAAGACCAGUGGCGAAGGCGGGUCUCUGGACGUC